rnacentral:rRNA from 1 species
CGGUGAAUACGUUCCCGGGCCUUGCACACACCGCCCGUCAAGCCAUGGAAGCCGGGUGUACCUAAAGUCGGUAACCGUAAGGAGCCGCCUAGGGUAAAACUGGUGACUGGGGCU